rnacentral:rRNA from 1 species
CAGCAGCCGCGGUAAUACGUAGGGUGCAAGCGUUAAUCGGAAUUACUGGGCGUAAAGCGUGCGCAGGCGGUCCGUUAAGACAGAUGUGAAAUCCUUGGGCUUAACCUGGGAACUGCAUUUGUGACUGGCGGGCUAGAGUAUGGCAGAGGGGGGUAGAAUUCCACGUGUAGCAGUGAAAUGCGUAGAGAUGUGGAGGAAUACCGAUGGCGAAGGCAGCCCCCUGGGCCAAUACUGACGCUCAUGCACGAAAGCGUGGGGAGCAAACAGGAUUAGAUACCCGCGUAGUCCCUGUCUCUUAUAC